CAAAUUUCUACCCGCUGAUGGCCU
rnacentral:siRNA from 1 species